rnacentral:rRNA from 1 species
UACGUAGGUGGCGAACGUUAUCCGGAAUCAUUGGGCGUAAAGGGUGCGUAGAUGGCCUGAUAAGUUAGCAGUGGGAAAUCGAGGCUCAACCCCGUGGAAGCUGGUAAUACUGUUAGGCUCGAGUGCAGGAGAAGUUAACGGAACUCCAUGUGGAGCGGUAAAAUGUGUAGAUAUAUGGAAGAACAUCAAUAACGGCGAAGGCAGUUAACUAUUCUGUUACUGACGUUGAGGCACGAAAGCGUGGGGAGCAAAACGG